rnacentral:rRNA from 1 species
GGGGAAUAUUGCACAAUGGGCGAAAGCCUGAUGCAGCAACGCCGCGUGAGUGAUGAAGGUCUUCGGAUUGUAAAGCUCUGUCUUUUGGGACGAUAAUGACGGUACCAAAGGAGGAAGCCACGGCUAACUACGUGCCAGCAGCCGCGGUAAUACGUAGGUGGCGAGCGUUGUCCGGAUUUACUGGGCGUAAAGGGUGCGUAGGCGGAUGUUUAAGUGAGAUGUGAAAUACCCGGGCUUAACUUGGGUGCUGCAUUUCAAACUGGAUAUCUAGAGUGCAGGAGAGGAGAAUGGAAUUCCUAGUGUAGCGGUGAAAUGCGUAGAGAUUAGGAAGAACACCAGUGGCGAAGGCGAUUCUCUGGACUGUAACUGACGCUGAGGCACGAAAGCGUGGGUAGCAAACAGGAUUAGAUACCCUGGUAGUCCACGCCGUAAACGAUGAGUACUAGGUGUAGGAGGUAUCGACCCCUUCUGUGCCGCAGUAAACACAUUAAGUACUCCGCCUGGG